ensembl:lncRNA
AACACACUAACACACACACAUACAAACACACACACACACAAACACCCUGCAACCCAGGACUGGGAGAGCAGAGAGCAGGACUUAAAGAGGGAGAAAAAGAUGAGGGGUUUUAUGUGGGCUCCACCCCAUCAGGGUAUAGGGUGCCCAUUAUACCCCCUCUGUGGGGUCAGGGCUAGCCAGGUGGCUUCUGGGAAGGGUGUGGGAGCUAAGCAAACAAUAGAGCAGCACUUUUAACCCCCCUGAUAUCCCUCCACCCAGGCAGUCAGUCACAGAGAGGGAGAGAGUGGCAGUGGUAGUGUGAGUGAGUGAGUGAGUGAGAGAGAGUGAGAGAAAGUGAGAGAGAGAGACUGUAUCCCUUCAGUAAAGGGAUCACAGUAGCGAGGGCUGGCUUGAAUUUUCCACAGAUAGGACUUUACAACAUGAAGAGGUGUUAAUUAAACUGGAAGUACAGGCAAUCAGAUAUCCCAACCUGCUUACUGCUGCAGUUUCCGAGACAUUGAAGAAAGGUAAAGACAAGAGAGUCCCAGGUCUAGUUGAGUUUAACCCAGCCGCUGGCUAAAACAGCUCUAGGUACUGUAUUGUCUGCUCCCAGGGGCAGCAAGGGCCCCGGAGGCCCCCAAAUGGCCCAAACAGGUGGACUGGUGCUCUCAUUCUCAACUUUUAAAAAGCACAGGGACAUCAAAGCGCAUUGUCACUGUUUUUCAAGCAUCAUCUUUAGCAUUUCCUUAUUGUGAGUUUUUGAUUAUUAUCAUUUUUUGUAACAAAAUAGGUGUACAUUUUAAAGGAGGACAUUUGAAAACACAAAAAAGGAAGGCAAAAAAACAUCUGAAAAAAAAGCAGAAUCUAUUUAUGAUAGACACAGAGCACAGGUGUUGUCAGAAAGGCGGUAAUGAGAAGUUAACGUUAAUAUAUUAUGGUAUAAAAGUGCACAUUAUGCAAGCUAGGGUUUUGAUGACUUGAUAUCUAUUUCACCCAUAAUGUCCCACCUUUUCAUCAACUCCCACCCAAAUGGCUGCCUUUUUUCCAGAUAUUCAGGGCUAGGGCCUGGGAAGGGGACAGGGAGGGCAGCCUGGACGCAUGUCAAGAAGGGGAGAGGAGGUUGUUGGACCCAAAAUAGCAUAACCGGGUGCACGAGGCUGACCAGCAGUAUAUCCCACACUCCACUGUAGCAUCUCCCAAAGGACCAUGGGAAGAUUCCCACGAUUACCCUGUGCCCCCCCCCUUUCCCCCCACUACCACGUGGUAGUGUUUUCUCUGUGUGUGAGAGUGAGUGUGUGUGUAUACCUCUUCUUGAGCAAGUCCAGUGAGACAGCUAUUUGCCUGUUUAUUCACAUACGUGAAAACACUGACUAAAUAAAACGAGAACUAGAUUGUGACUUAGACCACACCCCAAACAUGUAUCUGCUCACUACCAACAUUCUCAUUAGUUCAUUAAGAACAUCAAAAUUUCACCGAAAAAGCCAAGCCUUGUAUGAUGCAAGGUUUGUGCCUCUAAGAGGCUACAAAAUCUGCAAUAUGCAAUUUUUCUUUAUUUUUUUAAGAAUUGAGAGAAACCUACACCUAUGGAAAGUGUUCUUAAACCACUGAGAGAUGUAACAACAAACAAAACAAAACAAAACUAGCAAAGUACGUCACACGAGCCUGCUGUUAGUUUUUCAUUUGUAGUAUUAUUUUAAACGUUUUUAUUUUUUUAUUUUUUACUGUGUGCCGUAGUUCCAAGGUAAACUGUGAAAAAAGAAACAUUUUCCAAAUGAAAUGCACCUGGACAGUUAUUUAAGAAAUAGCGAAAAACACUAGGAAUCACAAACAAAUUGCUGUUUAGUUGCUGUCUGUCUGCGGCAGAAUAUGACAAUCUUAUUAGUUUCUUUGAAUCUGAUGUCCUUAUCCUAGCUAACGUACAACUGAUAUCCUCCUAACAUUACUAGGGUAGAUUUUCUGUCUUGUUAUAUGGAUGAAAUAUCGCGGCAAUGUUGAGAGAAUGUUAGUAACCUGGCUAGGAAAAGUACUUCAGGCUACUGUAAAAUGCCUUGCUCGUAUUGGUCAGCCCUUGGUCACCUGACUCAGUAAUUUUGCACCGUUCUUCUGUAGGUAAGAAACUGUAAAUACAUUAAUGUUUGUAUUGUAUAUGGAUCCUGGGUUGUUACGAUAGCCUUAUUCACCUUUUUAGGAAAGUAAAUGAAAAAAAAAUGAAAAAACAGAAUACACUUCAGUAAAACAGAGCAUACUACUUUUUUUGGUAAAUAGCUUGUGUAAAUAUUGACAAGAACCCAAUAAAACAUUUUUUUUUAUAAACUCUUAAAGUAAGAUGUUUUGUAUAAAAUUUCAAUUUUUUGCUAUGUAUUUUAGCUAGCGCUCGUUGGAAAGCCCCGUGUCCUCCCACUCCCUCCCCUUUUGCACUGUUUCCAUGGAAAUUUGGUUUUAAAAAAAAUUGAGAAAAAGUUGCCAAACCGACUGCUGCAUAUUCGUGCCAUAAGUGUGUACCAUAAAUAUUUAUUGAAUUCGUUUUUUUUUUCUUCUGUUUUUGAUUUGAUUUCUGUCCAGUUUUUAAGUAACACAGUAUUAUGAUUGCGUUGUUCAUUUGUCUCCCUGGUUUCUUUAGUCUGUUUUGAUAGGUUUCCAGGUGGCUGUAUCUGUAGCCCCUCCCCUUGCAGUUUGAGAUGGCCAGACCGUUGAAAUGGUUAAACAUUCAAAAACAGAAAGAAAUUAAAGUGAGGAAAAAUGACACACAUUCCACCAGUCUGUUACGAACUGAAAAUGUUUUUCAAUAAAAUGUUUUUCCUAUGGACAUGCCGUCGG